AUUGAACGCUGGCGGCAUGCCUUACACAUGCAAGUCGAGCGGGGUGAUGGUGCUUGCACUAUCACUUAGCGGCGGACGAGUGAGUAAUGCUUAGGAAUCUGCCUAUUAGUGGGGGACAACAUCUCGAAAGGGAUGCUAAUACCGCAUACGUCCUACGGGAGAAAGCAGGGGAUCACUUGUGACCUUGCGCUAAUAGAUGAGCCUAAGUCGGAUUAGCUAGUUGGUGGGGUAAAGGCCUACCAAGGCGACGAUCUGUAGCGGGUCUGAGAGGAUGAUCCGCCACACUGGGACUGAGACACGGCCCAGACUCCUACGGGAGGCAGCAGUGGGGAAUAUUGGACAAUGGGGGGAACCCUGAUCCAGCCAUGCCGCGUGUGUGAAGAAGGCCUUAUGGUUGUAAAGCACUUUAAGCGAGGAGGAGGCUCUUUUGGUUAAUACCCAAGAUGAGUGGACGUUACUCGCAGAAUAAGCACCGGCUAACUCUGUGCCAGCAGCCGCCGUAA
rnacentral:rRNA from 1 species